CUAACGACCAGCCUGGAGUUGAAAUGAGAAACGGAUCGUGGGCCAAAUGUUUGUUCGCCUUCGCUGACCUACCAAAAGGGAUACACGGAGCCAAGUGACCCUCUUUCAGAUCCCCUUUUUUCCAAAUGUGGUCGCUGGAACUUGAUUCCCGCAGUGUCCGGUUGCAGCUGCGCACAUGAAUGUCACAUUAUGUUCGGGUGUUGGCCACAUAUGUGUGUAACAGUUACUGUAAGUGAUGUUUGUGUUUUUAAACGUUCUGAGUCGCUUUAAAGAAUAAAGCUUUGAUGAAGCGAGUGGUUGUGCUGUCAUUGUGGUCUCUUUCUUUUUUUGUAUUUUCCUGCUCCCACACUCCAGAUUCAGCUCAGGGAAUUGAUAAUCAGCCAGUGAUAUGACCGUGCAGGGAGACUGGAUAAGAGGAAAAACCUACAUGAUUCAUGCUUUGGAGCUCCUAUUAACCUCUGCUGAGGAAUCAGGCACGCACCGUUUACUAAAAAGAGCUUUUUCUAUUCAACUGAUCAGAUCUGUGAAGAAAUAAAUAUUGUGACCUACAUAUCGCAACACUGUAUUUUUGCCAUAUUACUCACCUGUAAUACCAAUAAAGAAGUACUUCAAUGUGAUGUGCAAUGUUCUGCUACAACCUGUGGAAUAUAAAUGGUGUUUUGGCACAAGU